rnacentral:rRNA from 1 species
UCGAGCGAGAACCCCGCAAGGGGGGACAGCGGCGAAAGGGACAGUAAUGUGUAGAUUAUCUGCCCUCAGGCCCGGGAUAGCUGCGGGAAACUGCAGGUAAUACCGGAUAACAUCUCCGGAUCAAAGGUGUGAUUCCGCCUGAGGAUGAGUCUACAUCCUAUUAGCUAGUUGGCGAGGUAAUGGCUCACCAAGGCAUUGAUGGGUAGCGGGUGUGAGAGCACGACCCGCGUCAUUGGGACUGAGACACUGCCCAGACACCUACGGGUGGCUGCAGUCGAGAAUCUUCGGCAAUGGGCGCAAGCCUGACCGAGCGACGCCGCGUGUGGGAUGAAGGCCUUCGGGUUGUAAACCACUGUCAGAGGGGAUGA